GGUCACUGGUGCGGGCUGUUCCCUGUCGGGUCACUGGUGCGGACUGUUCCCUGUCUGUCGGGUCACUGGUGUGGACUGUAGUCAAGGGAUUCAUUUCCUCAGCCUUCUGCUUUACAACUAACCCAGUUGUGUCAAGUGCUUCAACAUGUGUUCUGCUCUAAUUCUGUCGACUUAAGAGCCUGAAUGCCAAUGUUCACUCUCUUCCCCCAUCCACACCCCAUAAUCUGUCAAACUCCGUGACAAAGCCUGACUGACUCUAGGCUUCGUCUGUGGUUUUGUUGGGACUGAGGGUGUAUCUACACACAUUCUGGCAGUUCACUGAAAUCCUGGUUUAGUCUCCACACUGCAGGUGAAAUCCUGGUUUAGUCUCCACACUGCAGGUGAAAUCCUGGUUUAGUCUCCACACUGCAGGUGAAAUCCUGGUUUAGUCUCCACACUGCAGGUGAAAUCCUGGUUUAGUCUCCACACUGCAGGUGAAAUCCUGGUUUAGUCUCCACACUGCAGGUGAAAUCCUGGUUUAGUCUCCACACUGCAGGUGAAAUCCUGGUUUAGUCUCCACACUGCAGGUGAAAUCCUGGUUUAGUCUCCACACUGCAGGUGAAAUCCUGGUUUAGUCUCCACACUGCAGGUGAAAUCCUGGUUUAGUCUCCACACUGCAGGUGAAAUCCUGGUUUAGUCUCCACACUGCAGGUG